GAGCGAACCGGAUUAGAUACCCGGGUAGUCCCGGCAGUAAACGGUGGGCGCUAGGUGUGGGGAGUCUCGACCCUCCCCGUGCCGCAGGGAAACCAAUAAGCGCCCCGCCUGGGGAGUACGGGCGCAAGCCUGAAACUCAAACCAAUUGACGGGGGCCCGCACAAGCGGCGGAGCAUGUGGCUUAAUUCGAUGCUACCCGAAGAACCUUACCAGGGCUUGACAUGCUGGCUUAAGCCCGCCCGAAAGGGUAGGGUGGGGCGGUUUCCACCGCCCAGCCAGCACAGGUGGUGCACGGCUGUCGUCAGCUCGUGCCGUGAGGUGUCCGGUUAAGUCCGGCAACGAGCGCAACCCCCGCCGCCAGUUGCCAGCGGGUAAUGCCGGGCACUCUGGCGGGACCGCCCGCGUAAGCGGGAGGAAGGUGGGGAUGACGUCAAGUCCGCGUGCCCCUGAAGUCCUGGGCUGCACACAUGCUACAAUGCCCGCUACAAAGGGUUGCGAACCCGCAAGGGGGAGCGAAUCCCAAAAAAGCGGGCUCAGUUCGGAUCGCAGGCUGCAACUCGCCUGCGUGAAGCCGGAGUCGCUAGUAACCGCCGGUCACAAUACGGCGGUGAUACGUUCCCGGGCU
rnacentral:rRNA from 1 species